rnacentral:rRNA from 1 species
UACGUAGGGUGCAAGCGUUGUCCGGAAUUAUUGGGCGUAAAGAGCUCGUAGGCGGUUUGUCGCGUCUGCUGUGAAAUCCCGAGGCUCAACCUCGGGUCUGCAGUCGAUACGGGCGGACUGGAGUUCGGCAGGGGAGACUGGAAUUCCUGGUGUAGCGGUGAAAUGCGCAGAUAUCAGGAGGAACACCGGUGGCGAAGGCGGGUCUCUGGGCCGAUACUGACGCUGAGGAGCGAAAGCAUGGGGAGCGAACAGG